GAAAGUAAGAAAGGGCGUAUGGCGGAUGCCUAGGCUCACGGAGGCGAUGAAGGACGUGAUAAGCUGCGAUAAGCUUCGGGUAGGUGCAAAUAACCCUUGAUCCGAGGAUUUCCGAAUGGGACAACCUAGCCGUCUGAAGGACGGUUACUAGCACCUAAGUGUUAGAGCUAACGCAGGGAACUGAAACAUCUUAGUACCUGCAGGAAGAGAAAAUAAAUGAAUGAUUCCCCCAGUAGUGGCGAGCGAACGGGGAACAGCCCAAACCGCUGACGUCGUAAGGCGCCAGCGGGGUUGUAGGACCGCGAGAUUGUACUCAAAUGGUGAGUGGAAGUAUCUGGAAAGUUACAUCACAGAAGGUGAUAAUCCUGUACACGAAGCCAGCUGAGACAUAGCGGUAUCCUGAGUAACGCGGGACACGAGGAAUCCUGCGCGAAUCUGCCGGGACCAUCCGGUAAGGCUAAAUACUCCCGUGAGACCGAUAGCGAACGAGUACUGUGAAGGAAAGGUGAAAAGAACCCCGAGCAGGGGAGUGAAAUAGUUCCUGAAACCAUACGCCUACAAGCGGUCGGAGCACAGCAGUGUGUGACGGCGUGCCUUUUGCAUAAUGAUCCUACGAGUUACCGUCACUGGCGAGGUUGAGUACCAUGAGGUACGUAGCCGCAGUGAAAGCGAGCCUGAAUAGGGCGCACAGUCAGUGGGGGUAGACGCGAAACCAAGUGAUCUACACUUGGCCAGGAUGAAGUCCCGGUAACACGGGAUGGAGGUCCGCACCAAUAAGCGUUGAAAAGCUUCUGGAUGAGCCGAGUGUAGGAGUGAAAGGCCAAUCAAACUUGGAGAUAGCUCGUACUCCCCGAAAGGCAUUUAGGUGCCGCGUCGGAUGGUCACCGUGAGAGGUAGAGCGACCGAUAGGACGAGAGGGCUUCACCGCCUAUCGAGUCCUGACGAACUCCGAAUGCUCACGGUCAGCAGUCCGGCAGUAAGGGGGCGGGUGCUAAGGUCCGUCCCCGAGAGGAGAAGAAUCCAGACCGCCGUCUAAGGUCCCGGAGUUCUGCCUGAGUUAGUCUAACGAAGUCUGGUCCCUAUGACAGCUAGGAUGUUGGCUUGGAAGCAGCCAUUCAUUCAAAGAGUGCGUAACAGCUCACUAGUCGAGGGUCCGGGCAUGGAUAAUAAUCGGGUAUAAGGCAGACACCGAAGGCGCGGGAUAGCAUUUAAGAAAGUAUCGGUAGGGGAGCAUACUCACAGCGUCGAAUGGUGUACGUAAGUUAUCCUGGAGCGGUGAGUAAAGCAAAUGUAGGAAUAAGUAACGAUAAGGAGGGUAAGAUUCCCUCCCGCUGUAAGACCAAGGUUUCCCGGGCAAUGCCAAUCAGCCCGGGGUCAGUCGGGUCCUAAGUCUAAGCCGAACGGCGAUGGCGAUGGCAGAGACGGUUAAUAUUCCGUCACUGCCGCAUGGGGCGACGUGGAGACGGAGCAGUGAAACCACCGCGGGGCGACGGAAGUCCCCGUUGAAGAGUGUAGGUAAUGAGGAUGGCAGGCAAAUCCACCAUCUGAGCCGAACUUGACAGUACGGAAUCCUCUUCGGAGGAAUCUGAUAGCGUGGGUAACCAUACUCCCGAGAAAAUCCGCUAAGCUUAACCCAUGCGGCACCCGUACCGCAAACGGACACACGUGGUCGGGUAGAACAUACUAAGGCGUUGAGAGAUUCAUGGUUAAGGAACUAGGCAAAUUGACCCUGUAACUUCGGGAUAAAGGGUCCUCGUGAUGAGCGAGGCGCAGAGAAUAGGUCCAGGCAACUGUUUAACAAAAACACAGGGCUGUGCAAACUCGAAAGAUGAGGUAUACAGCCUGACACCUGCCCGGUGCCGGAAGGUUAAGAGGAGAUGUCACUAGCAAUAGGAAGCAUUGAAUUGAAGCCCCGGUAAACGGCGGCCGUAACUAUAACGGUCCUAAGGUAGCGAAAUUCCUUGUCGGGU
rnacentral:rRNA from 1 species